UACAGAGGUCUCAAGCGUUUGUUCGGAUUCAUUGGGCGUAAAGGGCGCGUAGGCGGCGCGGUAAGUCGGGUGUGAAAUCUUGGAGCUUAACUCCGAAACUGCAUUCGAUACUGCCGUGCUUGAGGACUGGAGAGGAGACUGGAAUUUACGGUGUAGCGGUGAAAUGCGUAGAUAUCGUAAGGAAGACCAGUGGCGAAGGCGGGUCUCUGGACAGUUCCUGACGCUGAGGCACGAAGGCCAGGGGGAGCAAAACGGGG
rnacentral:rRNA from 1 species